rnacentral:lncRNA from 1 species
UCCCGUGCAGGACUCAUGCCGCCGCCUGCGGCCAUGGGAGGGGGCUGUUUCUGGUCGGGGGGAACGGGUUCAGCCACUGAUGAUUCGUAGAUAGCCCGUUAUCGGUUCGGGUCCGUCUUUGGCCGACAGGGCAACCUCAAUCCUUUGGCAUUUUCGUCGUCUGAGUUAUGUUCCCUUCUUUAGCGAUAAGUGGUGCAGCAGUUCAGGAGCUUCC